CACUCGGCUCGUGGAUCGAUGAAGAACGCACAAA
rnacentral:rRNA from 1 species